UGCACAGCGUUACAAAUGUGCCACAAUUCCAGCCAAUCACAGACUUCUGAUUCUAUCCAAUCGGGUCCCUGUUUCGGCCGCCUCUCGGAAGCGCUGUUAAAAACGAUCGCUAAAUCAACUGGAGUUCUGCUAUAUACGCUGGACUACGACAGAUUUUCGAGCCACUGGACCCUCGUUUAAUUAGCCAAGAUUAGCAAAGCUGUACCAUGUCGGAUCCUGAACGACAACACAACGGUGCACCACAUCGACAUGUCUUGUACUUGGAUGCUGCAACAAAUAACAAAGCACAAACUGCAUUCUCAUUCUUCAUCACAUCGGUCCAGCUUCAUGGCUUACCGUCAAGGGUUAGGGCAGAUCAGGGAGUAGAAAACCUGGAUAUUGCACAUUUCAUGUUUGCCACACGAGGAACAGGAAGAUCGAGCUUCAUCUCUGGAAAAAGUACCAUGACAUUCUUCACUCUCUGGAAGAGGAUGGUCUACUUGACAUAUCUAAUGCCACUCUUCUCUUUGGUGUGCACUACGUCUUUGUCCCCGACUCCGGGCAGAUCUUGAUACCUUUAUUGAAGGAUGGAAUAAUCAUUCUCUGCGGACAGAGGGAGGUCUCACCCCUGAACAGCUGUGGUGCAUGGGACGUCUACAAGAUCUGGAUGAGGGGGAGAGACUCGAGGACCUUCAGGACCCAGGCAUUGACUGGCAGAGUGCUGUGCUGCAGGAAGACUCUCAUGGCACAGUUGUGGUUCCGGAAUUUGAGUGCCCACUGGAUGAUGAAGCCCUGGAAGAACUUCAGAGAACUAUCAAC